rnacentral:lncRNA from 1 species
AUGGUUGGGUUGAUUAUUUUCAAGGCUUCAAAGAGCAAUGGCUUCUUUAGUUUUGUUACUGGAAGCACUAAUGAUAUUCCGAUGCCAAAAUCAUGAUCUUUUGUCGAACAAGAUAGCGAAGGAAACUCCUUAUAACACCAACCAUGAUGUGGGAAAACAAGGGUACCAUGGCUACAUUUGGAGUAGCAUGAGCCAGAUGAAGGAGGAGGAUGCUCGCACAUGGAAAAUAGCUGAGUCUUGCAUAUGGCCUUGAAAAUCGUAUGCUGUUUGAUUUUCUUUUGUUUUCUUUUUUCCUCCACUAUACCUCACUUUUGAAUUGCAGAUAUGUGCUGAAAUCCUUUUUCUUAACUUUAU